rnacentral:tRNA from 1 species
AGCAGCAUGGCUUAGUGGAAAGAACACAGGCCUGGGAGUCUGAGGAUCUGGGUUCUAUUCCCAGCUCUGCCA